UGGAAAAAUUUUGCCUUGUGUUGUUUCUUAUCCAACACACUCGUCAUGUGCUGGUUAGGUGCAAUACUGAACAUUCUUACACAAACAAAUAAUCUCUUGUGCCCUGACGUACAUCAAGUCUAAACAUCUGAUGUUCCAUUUGACUGACUAAUAAUUUAUGAUAUAUGUUUGUCUUUUACACCCGGACUCUGGCUCCAUCCUAUCUGACUCCCCACCAGACCCAAGGCUCUUAAAGCGAAUGCAUCUUGUCUUGGAAGCUCGGUGUUCCUUCCUUUGGAUAACAAGACAUGACGAUGCAGAAGUGAGAAAGCAAACAUUCUCACUCACAGCGAGAUAAAGUGGCGCAAACAAUUCUAUUGCUGCAGAGAGACAUUCCACCAGAGCCAGAGAAAGGGGUUAAAAGGCAGAGACAACUUGAGGAUCGUGGGCUCUUUGCAUCACACCUUUGUGGUGUGUGCACUGAUCUCCCCAGCUGGUUUUUGGUUUGUUGAUGUGCACGAUCAACAUCCAUGCUUUUUAUUUGCUUUCCCCAUUAUUUUUAUUUUCUUUAUUAUUUCAAUAAAUCGCACAAAAGGACAGCUCUCUCUCAUCUGCCUUUAUUGCAAAAUUUCCACCACAGAAAUUGGCGUCUACGAACAGGAUCCGCUGCAGGUCGUCUGGACGGUGUGACCAGGGACGAUAGUCCUGAGGACUAGGGUCGCUCAGCCUCCAAACCUCUACAGCUGUUCUGAGUGGGAGGACUGCUCACCCGUCUGGAUCGCCUCUGACGAGAUCCAACGAACACAAAAUGCAACCUCUACUCGGCCCGUUCCACACGUCCCUCUGUGAAAGCAUAAUGGAGACAGAUGCAGGACGUGGGUCCUUUCGUGAACAGAUGUCAACGGGGUGGAGACUGGUGAACGACUUCUGACCCCAUGUGACGUAUUUACAUGAUGUAGGUUUGAUCAGAGGAUGUGAACCAGUGGUCAUCACACCUAAAUCUGACUACAGACCAUGUAAACAACAACACCCUCUUAAAGGAGCCAUAGAUGGCGUUACUGCAGACACCACUAAGCUACUGAAACAUUGGAUGCUACAGGCCACAAAGAGCCUGUCUAAAUUACACUUUGUUCAGACAAAAUUUAUUUUUCUGGGUCAUUGUAAUUACAGCUGAUGGCAAAUCCAUCUCACCCAACAGAGUUGAAGCAAUUUGAAACCUGCCUAAACCGUGCACGUAUAAACAGCUUAUUUUUUCUAGGUUUUUGUUCUUAUUGUAGGAACUUCAUUCCUAACUUUACUGUCUUUGAGGCCCCACUCAGGGUUCUGAUGCAGACAUCUUCAUCGUCCACUUCUUGUCUCACGUGGACGUCUGAGGCUAAACGACGUUCACUGACCUCAUGCUUGCUCUUCAGUCGACUCCUACUUUGGGUCUCCCUGAUCUGACCCUACGCGACCUUUCACUCAAACAGUGGAGAAAUCAGGUUGUACGACUUCUGUUCUUUUGUCCUUAUACUUUGAUUCUUUUGGAAUAGAUCCCAUCUUUCUACAGCCCGAUGGCUUAGAUGCAACACCGCUUUGCUCAACAUGCUGAACGUUACUAUCAAGAGUCCGUCUUGAAGUCUGGCUCUUUGCUAAGACACUACUCUGCUCAGGCUGCAGAGUUGAUCGUAUUGACUGAAGCUGGUAAACUAGCAGAAGGAGAGUCUGUUACCAUCUACACAGACUCCACAGACACUUGUCACAUGUUGGUUCUCUGUGGAAGCAAAGGAAGCUUUUUAAGUCUGAUUGCAAACCUAUCUCAUAUGAUGAUUAGGUUCUGCUUUGCUGGACGCUGUCCUGCUGCCUACAGCUAUUGUUGUUUGUAACUGUCCCACUCACAACAUCAUUGACGACUUUGUCUCUGCCGACAUGCAGCUGCAGACGCUGCUGCGAAGGUCGCUGCCCAACAACCCCUCCCUCUCCUGAUCCUUGUUCCCUCUCUCCAACUCUCUCUACCCUUUCCUUCCUCUCUCUCCCUGUGCUUUAAACAUUUUCUACCUCACAGGAACGCAGACUCCGGCAGACGAAUGGUUCCACCUGUAGCCAUGGAGUCUGGUUUGGGCCUGACGACAAGCCGUGCCGCCCAAACACUUUUUCCCCAUAAUUCAGAUUUCCCAACAGGUGAAAGCAGGCGACAGGACCAUUACACCAUCCAACCAGGGCACUGGGUGAUCGUUAAGGAGUUCAGGAGGAAGCACUGGGACUCCAAACGGUGGCGAGGCCACUUCCAGGUCCUUCUGACGACCCACACGGCUGUGAAGAUCACAGAAAGAGCGACUUGGAUCAACUCCAUCCAGGAAGGUCCCGGAUCCGACAGACGACCCUCCAUCUACACCACACGAGAAAACCACCACUGACGAAAAGAAUUAAGAAGGACGACCCUCGCUGUGCUCACACACGCACUGAGGCGAGGCUGCGUUGACCGUUCAGCUAAAGGUGUGAGCCAAGCGCCGCCUGAAGCUGCGCCGGUGAAUCACACUAUCAGACCAUACAUCUACACACACGUUCCUGAGAAAACACACACACGAGCAGCCUUGAGUUGCCGACGCUGGACGACGUGUAGACUCUUCACAUCACGGGAGUGACAGUGACUCAGACGACAUUGGGAGGAAACCUGGCGGGGAUAACGAACCCCAAGUGUCUCUGUGAUCAGCUCAUCACAACCUGAAGAACCCCAACGAACUGUCAAUACUUCAACACACAGGUUGGAAACAAUCUAACGCUACUGUUCAACAGGACGAAGCAGAUUGUUACGAGACAUCAAUUGUAACCUUGUUGUGUUAGACUUCAUUUUUUGUUACUUGGAUUAUUGCCUUGAACAUAUGAUGUUUCUAUGUAACUUUACACAAUACCUUUGAAGAAGAAAAUUUCACAACGACACUGAGUUUAAAUAUCCUGAAGUUGACUUGGUGUUUAAUUUGCUUACAAUCAAUUUAUUCACUGCUACAAUUAGUUUUAUCCUUCAUCUACAGAUGAAAGACAACACAAGCGGAAAUAUGCAUCAUCAUUCUGGUUUAAACCCUGAUUCUCGUAUUCAUUCUAGACCCAAAUCUACAAUUAAAGAUCUGAAAGUUAUCCCACUGGUUAGAGGUGUCAUGCAUGCGACCUCAGCAACACUCUCGUAUCAAAUGACACAAUGCACUAUGUUCAAAAACCCCAACUCUAAUUCACUAAAUGACUUUGACGAUGGUCUUAGGCUAUCCGAUCACAAAAUAUAAUCUGAUACAAGUAUGAUUAUUGACUUAUUUUCAUCACAUGCCAAUACAGAGGUUAUUCUUGUAUAACUACCCACCAAAACAGCUCACAACCUUUUAUCCCUAAGUUACUUGCAUUUUAUGUGAAGGUGUAUUUUUGAAUUUUGACUUAAUACACUUACUGUUUCAUUUGUAAGGAUUGUUACUACAAAAUGCAAUGUUUGAAAAUUUUAUUACUUUAGUGUUUGAUUAAUGUGUAAUCAAAAGGGGGGAAUGUAAUGGAAAAAUUUUGCCUUGUGCUGUUUCUUAUCCAACACACUCGUCAUGUGCUGGUUAGGUGCAAUACUGAACUGUCACAGUCUAGAUCAUUUAGUCACUGUAAUUACUCAUUUCCGGUUUUAUUUUGUCACCACUUCCUGUCGCAGUCAUCGUUAGUUUUCAGUCAGCCUUGCUCCCGGUUCUAAUCUACUCACCUGUCUGUCAUUUAGUGAUCACCAUUUAGUAUUUAAGCACCACCUCUAAGCCCAGCACCUUGCCAGAUUGUCUUUUGUGUCCUUGCCAGCAAUCCAGCGUUAACUCACAUAUUGUCUCGUUACUGAUCCUGUUUUCCUGACCUUGCUUUCCGCCUCGCCUGUGAUACCGCCUUGCCGUAAGUCCAACCGAAGCCUUGACCACCGUUUGCCAGAUCCUUGCCUAUACUGAAACCUGCCGUCUUUGUGUACCGACCCUUGCCUGCCUGACCACGAGCUCGAAUAAACCCUGUUGUUCACUGA